rnacentral:rRNA from 1 species
GAUGAACGCUGGCGGCGUGCCUAAUACAUGCAAGUCGAGCGAACGGACGAGAAGCUUGCUUCUCUGAUGUUAGCGGCGGACGGGUGAGUAACACGUGGAUAACCUACCUAUAAGACUGGGAUAACUUCGGGAAACCGUAGCUAAUACCGGAUAAUAUUUUGAACCGCAUGGUUCAAAAGUGAAAGACGGUCUUGCUGUCACUUAUAGAUGGAUCCGCGCUGCAUUAGCUAGUUGGUAAGGUAACGGCUUACCAAGGCAACGAUGCAUAGCCGACCUGAGAAGGUGAUCGGCCACACUGGAACUGAGACACGGUCCAGACUCCUACGGGAGGCAGCAGUAGGGAAUCUUCCGCAAAGGGCGAAAGCCUGACGGAGCAACGCCGCGUGAGUGAUGAAGGUCUUCGGAUCGUAAAACUCUGUUAUUAGGGAAGAACAUAUGUGUAAGUAACUGUGCACAUCUUGACGGUACCUAAUCAGAAAGCCACGGCUAACUACGUG